AGUGAACGCUGGCGGCGUGCCUAAUACAUGCAAGUCGAACGGAGUUGCGCACGGGUGAGUAAUAUAUAGCUAAUUUGCCCCUUGCUGGAGGACAACCGUUAGAAAUGUCUCCUAAUCCUCCAUAGGAAGGGAUGAGACUAUAUCGUAUCAGCUAGUCGGUGGGGUAACGGCCUACCGAGGCUAUGACGCGUAACUGGUCUGAGAGGAUGAUCAGUCGCAUUGGAAGGUAGACACGGUUCAAACUCCUACGGGAGGCAGCAGUAGGGAAUAUUGCGCAAUGGGGGAGACCCUGACGCGGCAACGCCGCGUGGAGGAUGACACUUUUCGGAGCGUAAACUCCUUUUGUUAGGGAAGCGGGACCUAAAGAAUAAGCACAGGCUAACUACGUGCCAGCAGCCGCGGUAAGAG
rnacentral:rRNA from 1 species